CUUCCCCAAUCCAUCUCUCACCCGCCCACUGCCCCCGACGUACCCGUAUUGCGCCGCCGCCGCCCCCGCGCCUCCGCAGCAAUGGCAGGUAGCAGCCUCUGUAUCACUGCAAUCUGACAAAGUGGAGGGCCUAGAAGGUAAAGUACUCUGACGGAGUACCUUCUUCAGAGUGCAGAGGAGCAAAAUUGUUCUAAUCAGCAGCAGCACAGCACAGUCACUUGGAUCAGCGGAAGAGGAGCAUCAGCAGCACGGGCAGAGGAGCAGCAGCAGCUAGUUCUUCAGGUACAAUGGAAAACAAGCAAGCUUAUAUCUGAAAAAUGAGUUAGCUAGGCUCAGAAUUUUGAGUUGGCCCCUUUACAUAAGUUUUAGAUAAAGUUUCAAGGUUUCUUUAGAGUAUUUAUUUGUGUCGUUUGGUGUACGGUUUGAGAGCAGCUAUCAGUUUAGUUUGCUGUCCCGAAAUAUAUGUUUCUGGGUACAGUAUUUUGAUAUGGGAGAUUAGGCCCUGUUAGAGGUGGUAUUAAAAUAAAGUUACAACAUGAAAAUUUUAGAGGUUGUUCUGUAGAUACUUAAAACACAUAUCACUUGUCAGGUUUCGUUCGGUAUAUUAAAUCCUAUGAAAUUAUCAAAGUGGGUUGUACUAUGUUGGACAGAAUUUUAUGUUUGGACUUGGGUGAAUGUAACCAGACUUAUACUCUCAGAUUUUGUCAUAGUUGAUGGUGUGAGGACUUAUAAUGUGAUAAAGUAUAUACGUUGUUGCAACACCUA